GGUCGUUCCGACAAAGCUUCAACAUCGACUCGUGGUUACUCCCUGAUCCUUUCUCUCACGACAGCGAUGCACUCGCUAAAGCUCUUCACAAAUCCAUCUCCGAUCCUCUCUCUCCUUCAGCUUACUUCGAUUCCGUCGCCGUCUCCGACCUCUCACCUCCUCAAACCAUCUCUAACGUCUCCUUCGGCUCAGAUCCAGAGAUCGCCGUCGGCGGUGGCGGUGGUGGGGGGAAGCGGAAGCGUGGUCCUGGUGUUGCCGGAGGUAAACCGGCGAAACGCCGUUCUCGAGUUUCCACCAAGAAGUCUCAGACGACGUUUAUAACGGCGGACGCGGCUAACUUCCGGCAGAUGGUUCAGCAAGUCACCGGCGCGAAGUAUAACGGUUCUCCCCACGGCUUUUUUGCUCCGGUUGUGAAGCCGGAGCCGCAUAGGCUCGCUAGCAGGCUACCACCGUCUGGUGCUUUUGAUGGAUCCUCUGAGGUUCCGACGCUGGAUACGUCGUCGUUUUUGUCUAACCAUCACCAGGAGACUUUGGUGACAGAGUUGGGCUCUGUUUCAGCGCCGGGGAGUUCGACGGGGGUUGGUGGUGGAUCCGCCGUGGAGUUGGAUAGUUACCCGAGCUUCCCGACGCUUGAGUCGUGGAAAGUGAUGUGAUCUAAUUCGGAUUUAAUUUUAGUGUUUUGUAGAUGUAAUCCUUUUUUUAAAUUAAAGACCCUUUAGAUCCUCUUGUUUCUCUCUUUUAAUGUUAUGAGUAUCUUUGUUAUCAUUUUGAGCUUUGUGGCUAAGGAGUCUCUUCUUGUUCAUACUUUUGGGGGAAAUCAAUGGUUAAUGAAAAAACUUUUAUUUAUUUUGGAGAAUAGUUUUGUUACAUUUGAUGAAAUUGGAACUUUCCUUAGCAUCCUUAGUGAUGGUGAUACUUGGAUUCUACGAAAUAAAAUUCACAUUAUAGAUUUGAAGUUAUUGCUACUUGUCCUCUAUCAUAUAGCUUUCUUUUUUUGUGCACCCUCUAUCAUAAAUCUUUACAUUACAUAUAUAAAGAUAAUUAUGUAUAAUCUGUCACUUUAGAAGGAUGAACCAUUUGAAAGUCAGCAAAGUGGUCAUCUUUACUUUCUUCAUCAAAAGGUUUAUUUGUGCAGAGCACAUGUAAUAGAGAAUUAGUAGAACAUUGAUUUUUUUUUGGUGUAACAUUGAUUUUUAGUUCAUACAAGAAUAUCUCUUUGCUUUUAACCGCCGGUAGGAGGAUAGAGGAUUAGAUUUUUUACUCGGAUGCUAAAGAAUAUCUUUCUUGAUGGUCCCAUUGACAUAUGUUGUCAUUUGUCAAUAUCACACAAUAAGACAAUCAAUCAUAUACGUUACCACCACCAUAAUUAAAUGUCUCCAUUACUGAUACAAAAUCCCAUAUAAUUUUCUUUAAUUUUUUGAAAUUUAUCUGUUUUUCCAAUAUAAUGCUAGAAACUGGUACUCACACAAUAAAGCAGAUAGUGUAACGACAAGAACAGUUUAUCCAAAAGAGAAGAUAAUCUUCCAACAACUACACCUAUAAGAGCAUGUCAAAGUAAACGAUAGUGCUAGAACCCAAGUCAAAAAGAUUGCAUCGUGAAAUAAAAGGUUAAAAAACUCUAGUGAUGGGUUUGGUGAUCAGAAAGAAACUAAAGUAAAAGAAAAUGUAUAGUAAUUCUUAAUUAAUUUCUUUACAAAGAAUAAAGAAAUAUGAUGAGAAAAGCCGCAAGAAAAUUGAAGUUGUUCAAAGUUUCAAUUUUAAAAGCUGAGUCAACGUCAAUGCCACAAAAGAGGAGGCAGCGAUCAUCCCAUCAUCACUCAUGUUCUUAGUUUUGAGUCUUUUGACAGUAAAACGUCACUUGCGUUGAAUUCUUUACUUCUAAACAACACGACACCACUGCAGUGUCCCGUUGAGAUUAAACUCAUCCCAUUUAGUACCAAAACGUAAACUUAAGACAACGCUAGCUUAAAAAUUCUGAAACGUGGACAUUACUAGAUUUGGAUGAACUUAAAUCGUUUUAUUGGAUCUAUGCACAACGAAUUACGUAUGCGAAUCUUUUUAGAGACAAAACAAAAACUGGACGGUGGAAACUCCCGCAAUAAAUAUAAGGAGGGACCAUAGGUUGACCAAGCGAUCUUAUAAUUAGUACAAAGACUAAUGCAAGGGCUACAAAUAUAGGUGGUUGUUGGCUGCACCUGAUAAGGGGGUUUAUGAGGGAAACAUCAUCUUCUUUGUUUGAAAUCAGAUUCAGACACUUAUCUUUCAUCUCAUGUGGGUCGGUCUUUGGACUUCUAAACAGAAUGAGAACGACAUAAAUGAACAUUUUUUGAAUCGGUAUGAUAUAUAGAAACCUUAUACACCUUUAAAACUUCAUUUUGGUUAUAACACCUACAUCUUCACGUGCUUUGCUUUGUGAUGAGUUUACUGUUACAUAGCGCUUCUUCAAAUGAUUUCUGAAAAAGUACAAAGCGUAAAUGAACCAGACAAUAUACUCAUACUUUGUGUAUCUAUCACAUCAUCCACCAGUUGAUAUCUUUUUCUUUAGCUUCAUCAAGUUAUAAUCAUCCGUUCUUGCUUAACUAAGAAACUCAAUACAAAUGUUAACCGGAUAGAAAAUGAUUGUUUAUGACAUAGAUGUUGAAAAAAUCUGCUAAUUAAACUUGAAGAAAAAAAAGAAGAAAACAAAAAGAAUUUAGUGUGAAAACUCGAUUGAGUCAAAUUCUCAUUCUAGGGUUUGUUUAUUGACUAUAUGAAUAAAUAUAUUACAAACUUAAAACUCAUAUUUUAUUCAUAACUAAGGUCGGUCCGCCCUACGGACGGGAUAUUAGUUAAUUUGAUAUUCACUAAAUGCUCGAGUUGAAAUUUGUUUUAAGAUUCAAGAAUUUGGUUAUCUGUUAUGUGUUAUUUAUUAGUAUGCGGUGGUAUAGUUGUUUUUCGAUUAUUCUUGCUUUGGUAUUGUAUCAAAUUAACUAAUUGUCCAACUCAUAAUUAUAGAUGUACAAAUAUGGAUUUGUGAUAAAGUUUGAUGACAAUACUGUUUUUUUUUUAAUUUUUAUUCAUAGCGGAGUGCGCAUGUGUCAGAAAGAAGCCUAUAUCAACUUUUAUGUUUUUGCGUAUGGAUUUUAAAUAUAUAUUAUUUUGUAUAAUGCAUACUUACUCUACAACAUUUGUAGACUAAAAAAACUGUUCUCUAUAUUUUUAAAAGAGAAAAUAUUUAGUCUAGAAUAUAACAUGGACAUAUGUAUUGACUAUAUAUAGAAAUUGAGUGUUAUUUUAAAAUGACAUAUGUAUAGAGGUUUUUCAACCAUUACUUCACUGACACAAAACAUUUAUAACUGCAAAUAUCUUCUUUUAAAAGCAAAACUAAUAAAAGCGUGUAUAACAAAUGUAUUUUGAUAUAUAUUAUAUGCAUCAAGUUAUACAUUUGGAGCAAAGUUUUUAACUUUACGAUCUUCAUCUUGACGUCAGUUCUGUGCCGGCCCUGGCCACAAGCAGAAGAAGCAUGAGCUUCCAGCCAACACGAUAAUAAGUAUUUUGAGGCCACAUAUUUAUAAAAAGUGACUUUAGCCUAGUGAUUCUAAGAGAAAUUACCAGUGCUGGAGUUGUUGGGUUCAAUUACCCCUGACAGCCUUUUGUUUUAUUUUGGCCCCAAAUAUGAAAUGGGACACGUGUUACUCCCAUAACGCAUGACUUGAUGACGUGGCAUCACAGGAGGGAGGCGAACAUAUUUUUAUAUAUAUAGAUUCCACUUUUAUGUUCUACCUGCAUUUACGUAACAUAGCGUCUCUCUUACGAAGUUACGAGUACUUGUUUCAAAAGUUUGAAUCUAAACGGUUUCGACUGAGCAAGCAAUAUUAUCGGUGCAUGACAAGUUACAUCUGUCUGUUUAGUGGAGUUAAUAGAAUCAUAGUAGUGCAGUUAAUUAAAAUGAAUUCAAAACUUCAAAACACGAAUAGUAAUGAUGCAAUUAACACGGCUUAAAGAACUCUCCACAUGCAGAACCGAACAAAAUAAGAUUCAAAAACAUUGUUUUCAAGCCCAUAGUUGUGAAGGGUGGUUUUUUUAGUUGGUCAAUAAGGCUAAGAAGAGACAAAACAACGUACGUCAUUAUCCUUAAUCACUCAUGGGUUUAGUUAAUUAAGUUAAGACCAUAGACGAAGCAGAGCUGAGUCAGUCUUCCGUACAACUCUGCUGACGCGUGUCUUAACGCGUUUUCUUUCUCUCUCCGCCGUCCUAUUUAAUAUCUCUCCUCCGUCUUCAUUCCUUCACUCUCUCUCUAUAACUUCUUCUCCACUCCUAUAAAAAUAAAAUUUCAAGAGUGCUCCAAAAUAAUUAAUACAUUCUCUAUUCGAUUUCAAUUUUUUUUUCACGGUUGUUAAAAAAAAAAGGUUAGAAUAAAAAAAAUCAUGGCGUCGUCUGAUGGAUUAGCGAGCGUUGACCCUUGGUCGUUCCGACAAAGCUUCAACAUCGACUCGUGGUUACUCCCUGAUCCUUUCUCUCACGACAGUGACGUACUCGCUAAAGCUCUUCACAAAUCCAUCUCCGACCCUUUCUCUCCUUCAGCUUACUUCGAUUCCGCCGCCGUCUCCGACCUCUCACCUCCUCAAACCGUCUCUAACGUCUCCUUCGGCUCAGAUCCAGAGAUCGCCGUCGGCGGUGGCGGUGGUGGGGGGAAGCGGAAGCGUGGUCCUGGUGUUGCCGGAGGUAAACCGGCGAAACGCCGUUCUCGAGUUUCCACC
rnacentral:lncRNA from 1 species